rnacentral:rRNA from 1 species
CGCAGCCGCGGUAAUUCCAGCUCCAAUAGCGCAUAUUAAAGUUGUUGCAGUUAAAAAGCUCGUAGUUGAAUUUCGGGGUCGGUAGGUUGGUCAUGCCUCUGGUAUGCACUGGUCUCACUGAUUCCUCCUUCCUGAUGAGCCGUAAUGCCAUUAAUUUGGUGUUGCGAGGAAUCUGGACUGUUACUUUGAAAAAAUUGAGUGUUUAAAGCAGGCUCACGCUUGAAUACAUUAGCAUGGAAUAACGGAAUAGGACGUUUGAUUCUAUUUUGUGGUUUCUAGGAUCGACGUAAUGAUUAAUAGGGAUAGUUGGGGGCAUUAGUAUUCAAUUGUCAGAGGUGAAAUUCUUGGAUUUAUUGAAGACUAACUACUGCGAAAGCAUUUGCCAAGGAUGUUUUCAUUAAUCAAGAACGAAAGUUAGGGAUCGAAGACGAUCAGAUACCGUGUAGUCUUAACCAUAAACUAUGCCGACUAGGGAUCGGAUGAUGUUAUUUUUANGACUUC